rnacentral:rRNA from 1 species
UUGGUGGAAACUAAAAAGCAUCUUGCUUUUCCUUUGGUGUAUCAACUUCUCAAGUUGGUGCUAAUUUUACCAGUUGCCACAGCGUCAGCGGAGAGAUGCUUUUCAGCAAUGAAUAUCGUCAAGAGUGUUUUGCGGAACAAAAUGGGUGAUGAAUUCAUGAGUGAUUGCCUGAUUUGCUAUGUGGAGAAAGACAUAUUUUCUACAAUAACGAAUGAUGAUGUGAUUGAUCUAUUGAAGAAGAUGAAAGGUCGAGAAGGGAAGUUAUAA